rnacentral:lncRNA from 1 species
AAGAAUUUGCUCGCCUAGAUGAUAUAGAAAGGGCUAAUAGAAAUGGAAUACCUCAACCUGAAAAUUCUAUGGGAGCUGGAGGUUCUAAUAUGGUUCAAAGUGUAUUAAAUAUGACUAACCCGGCUAGCCGAAGCACACACCGCACAUAUAGUAAAGAAAAAGAUCGUAGAGAAUUAGCUAAAAUGGUUGCUGUUUGUGGUUUGCC